rnacentral:tRNA from 1 species
GCGAGAGUGGCGGAAUUGGCAGACGCACCGGAUUUAGGUUCCGGCGGGAAACCGUGAGGGUUCGAGUCCCUCCUUUCGCACCA